rnacentral:lncRNA from 1 species
AGUUUUCAUUUCUAGGGUUGUUAUUUGUUCAUCUCUUGAUUACUACUCGUAUUUAUGAGAAAUGUGUGCUGCUGGUCUUUGUAAAAAGCUAGCUUGGUUUUUUUUGUUUGAUUGUUUGUUUGUUUUAGACUUUUAUUAAUUUAUUUAGUCAUACAUGACAGCAGAAUGUAUUUUGACAUAUAAUACAUACAUGGAAUGUACAUACAUCAAUUAUAUUGUCUAUUCUAUUCUGCAGCCCUUCCUAUCCUUCCUACUCCUCCCCUCCUCUCCCAUCCUUUCUCUCUAUGCUAGCUUGGUUUUUAAGGAUCUAUUUUACUAUUUUUUUCUAAUUUAAUAUGUUACUCUUUUGAACUGUAUCAAAUUUGUUUCUCCUUUUAAUUGUUUUUAGUCAUUUUUUUUUAGACUCAUAUCAAAUUUUUAUUUGCUUUCCAUUUUUGUUGUUGUUGUUGUUGUUGUUUAAUUUUAGAAAACACUUUGGGCUACAAAUUUUCCUCUGAGCUCAGUUUGGGCCAUCUCCCAUACACUUUAUCAUGUGGUGUUCUCAUGUUUAUUAAUUUUCAAGAAGCUUAAAUUUGGGGCUGGGGUGAUAGCUCAGCAGUAGAGCGCUUGCCUAGCACAUGUGAGGCCCUGGGUUCAAUCCUCAGCACCACAUACAAAUGAUAAAGAGAAUAAAGGUGUUAAAAAAAUUCCUUCCUUUAAAAAAAAAAGAAGAAGAAGAAGAAGCCUGAAUUUGAAGUUUUUACUUCUUGUUCAAAACAGAAUCUGUUUAGAGUACAACUGAUGUUUGUAUGUUUGUAUCUUUGUUCCCAGAGUUUUCCCACUAUUAUUGCUACCUUUUUGUAAUUCAUUUCUAGUUUCACUGAAUUAUAUGGUUUGAGGAUGGGAAUGUAUAACUUUUACUUUCUAUAAUUUGAAAUUUUUCUUUACAACCACACGUACACAUACCCACACACACCAAUAGUUAGAAAUGUUCCAUGGAUAUUUUAUAUACAUACACCUUAUUUGGAGAAUAUAUAUAGUUUC